GCUCAGCUUCUUCUGCAACCAUGUCUGACAAACCCGAUAUGGCUGAGAUUGAGAAAUUCGAUAAGUCAAAAUUGAAGAAGGCAGAAAUGCAAAAGAAAAACCCACUGCCAUCAAAAGAAAUGAUUGAACAGGAAAAGCAAGCAGGCGAAUCGUAAUGAGGCACGCACCGCCAAUAUGCACUGUACAUUCCACAAGCAUUGCCUUCUUAUUUUACUUCUUUUAGCUGUUUAACUUUAUAAGAUGCAAAGAGUUUGGAUCAAGUUUAAAUGACUGUGCUGCCCCCUUUUCAUAUCCAAGAACUACUGACAACGAAGGCCACACCCACCUUUCCCACCUGCCUGUGGCUGGCAGGGAAGGAAAAGAACUUGCAUGUUGGUGAAGGCAGAAAAGACGGAUGGGACGAAAGUGAAAUCUAGAGUGAAAAUCAAGCUGGUCCAAGGCAUCUUGCAGGCUGUAAAAUGCAGCUUAAUCAGAGUG